AGUGAACGCUGGCGGUAGGCCUAACACAUGCCAGUCGAACGGCAGCACAGUAAGAGCUUGCUCUUACGGGUGGCGAGUGGCGGACGGGUGAGGAAUACAUCGGAAUCUACUUUUUCGUGGGGGAUAACGUAGGGAAACUUACGCUAAUACCGCAUACGACCUACGGGUGAAAGCAGGGGAUCUUCGGACCUUGCGCGAUUGAAUGAGCCGAUGUCGGAUUAGCUAGUUGGCGGGGUAAAGGCCCACCAAGGCGACGAUCCGUAGCUGGUCUGAGAGGAUGAUCAGCCACACUGGAACUGAGACACGGUCCAGACUCCGACGGGAGGCAGCAGUGGGGAAUAUUGGACAAUGGGCGCAAGCCUGAUCCAGCCAUACCGCGUGGGUGAAGAAGGCCUUCGGGUUGUAAAGCCCUUUUGUUGGGAAAGAAAAGCAGCAGGUUAAUACCCCGCUGUUCUGACGGUACCCAAAGAAUAAGCACCGGCUAACUUCGU
rnacentral:rRNA from 1 species